GCAGGUUUGCUUAUGGGCUUCAGUGGCAUAAUGUCUCCCUGCAGGACAAGGGCAGGCUUUACUGGCUGUCUGUCUUUACCAUCCAGGAUAAGAGAGCUAGGCAUCUAUGGAAGCUGUGGAAGGCUAACUUGCUAGCUUACAAAGAGCGGCUCCCACCUCUAGCUGCACAAUUGAAUCUGCCUUCGGCUCAGGUCGUGAUCCUGGAUUCCUGGGAUCAAGCCCCACAUGGGGCU